GAUGAACGCUGGCGGCGUGCCUAAUACAUGCAAGUCGAGCGAACGGACGAGAAGCUUGCUUUUCUGAUGUUAGCGGCGGACGGGUGAGUAACACGUGGAUAACCUACCUAUAAGACUGGGAUAACUUCGGGAAACCGGAGCUAAUACCGGAUAAUAUUUUGUACCGCAUGGUUCAAAAGUGAAAGACGGUCUUGCUGUCACUUAUAGAUGGAUCCGCGCUGCAUUAGCUAGUUGGUAAGGUAACGGCUUACCAAGGCAACGAUGCAUAGCCGACCUGAGAGGGUGAUCGGCCACACUGGAACUGAGACACGGUCCAGACUCCUACGGGAGGCAGCAGUAGGGAAUCUUCCGCAAUGGGCGAAAGCCUGACGGAGCAACGCCGCGUGAGUGAUGAAGGUCUUCGGAUCGUAAAACUCUGUUAUUAGGAAAGAACAUAUGUGUAAGUAACUGUGCACAUCUUGACGGUACCUAAUCAGAAAGCCACGGCUAACUACGUG
rnacentral:rRNA from 1 species